UACGUAGGGGGCAAGCGUUGUCCGGAUUCAUUGGGCGUAAAGAGCUCGUAGGCGGCUUGGCAAGUCGGGUGUGAAACCUCCAGGCUCAACCUGGAGACGCCACCCGAUACUGCCAUGGCUAGAGUCCGGUAGGGGACCACGGAAUUCCUGGUGUAGCGGUGAAAUGCGCAGAUAUCAGGAGGAACACCGGUGGCGAAGGCGGCAUCCUGGACCAACACUGACGCUGAGUGAGCGAAAGCCAGGGGAGCAAACGGG
rnacentral:rRNA from 1 species